GACGUAGGGUCCAAGCAUUAUCCGGAAUUAUUGGGCGUAAAGCGUGGGUAGGUGGCUUAUUAAGUCCUUGGUUAAAGCCUUCGGCUCAACCGAAGAACUGCCAAGGAUACUGAUAGGCUUUGAGGUCAGCAGGGGCAAGUAGAAUUCCCGGUGUAGGGGUGAAAUCCGUUGAUAUCGGGAGGAAUACCAGUGGCGAAGGCGGCUUGCUAGGCUGAAACUGACACUGAUCCACGAAAGCGUGGGGAGCAAACAGG
rnacentral:rRNA from 1 species